AAUUUCAGAAAACUCCAACGGCUGGACUUCUUACUGUAGCAUUGAAUUCCUUCUCAUUCGAGUUUGCAAAAUAAAUAAUUUCUGGUUCAUUAAGAAUUUAAAAAUGGAUUGAGCUUGGGUUUUGUUUCAAAAAAAGGUUGGUUUUGAUGGCUGAUGUGGUUACUGCUCAAUUGAGAAUGGUUUUGGAAGUUUCUGAGUUUUUACUCUUGUGCUUCUUGGUUACUGACCUUCAUUUGCUUUUCAACAUUUCAUAUUCUAGGUACAUGUUUCUAGAUUCACAUCACAUAAGGUUUGAUAUCGAAGUGAAAUGAAAUCGGGAGUUUCAAAUAUAGCUUCUGCAUGUUCAAAUCCAUUAGUUUAGUUUCAGUUAUUUUUUAGAGUUAAUUAAUGUGUUGUAUGCUCAACAUGGAAGCUAUUAGUCAACUUGCAUCUGUUGAAUUUAGUAUAGCCCUUGAAGUAAUUUUACUUCCUUCUAAAAUUCUUAUUGUUAUAGUUGGGUUUGGACUGUUGAGGUAGGGAACUUGAUAAAAAUAUUGACCAUCAGCUAAGUUUUGUGAUUAAUCCAUGUUAGCUAAGUGUAUGGUAUUAUGGAGCUGUCAAGGUACUGCAGCAACAUACUUCUCCAAACAUAUGAGUUUUAGCUUUAAUUCUAGUUGAAAUAGGUGAUCUUGUUUGUAGGCAAUUUUAUAUGAGAACAACUAUUGUGAUAAUUAUAAGUUAGGGGUAGAAGUUAAUGAUAUAUAGUCUAUUAUGUUCAAAGUAUUAUAGUACAUGGUUUAAUGCAAAAUUGGUUGUCAUGUGAGGUUCACUCAUGUAUUCAUGGUAGAUAUAUUUUGAUUUGCCUAUCAUUUUGUUUUAAUUUUCAUACAAAUCAGUUAGCUGUUUUUGAUGUUGCUAAAAUAAGGUUUUAGACUUUGUAACUUGAAGUUUGGCAUGCCCAUAUGGAAAAGGUUGCAGCAUACAUUGCUAGCCUUCGGAGAGAUUCGAUCUCAAGUACCAGACAUUCACUGAUCGACCUGGGAGCAUUGCUUGGGCUUUGGUCCGAAUGUUAAUUUUAAGUGAUACGGUCAUGGGAGAUGGAAAUGCAUUUGGGUCUAGAGCAUGCUAACAAAUCAAAUUUUAGUUGUUCCCCAUUUAGGUAAUCAAAAUUCAGAGAUGGGACGGUUGGUGCAACACCCCGUAAUUUGGCUCAGGAGUGAAUGUGUUAAAUGAGUGGUAAGGUUAUUGUUUAUACAUGUGAAGUCCCACUGGGAUGAUAAUGGGCAAAAUAGUUAUUUCAAAAUCAAGAUGGAAAGAUAUAUACAUAAGAUUUGAGAAAAUCGACUUAGCUUGUAAAAGGUCUAUCUUCCAUAAAGUUUUCGUCAAAAUUUAAGGUAUUUGGAAAGAAUCACUUAGGCCUUCGAAAUAACUUUCCAACAAAAUAUUAUGGAGCCCGAACGGAUCUUUUUGCAAGAAUUUAUGACAAAAUUACUAAACACAUACCACCCAGUUAUUUUGGCGGACAGCGAUGCGAGCUCGUUUCACGAAAAUAGACACGAAUUUUUGUAUUUCCUUGAAUGCAAUGGACAAUGAAGUGAGGAAACUUUGCUAGAGUAGACGUGCAUCAGUCCUAACUCUUUUAAACCAAUUUCAGGGUUCAUUUUUCCCUAUUUCUUUUGGACGAAUUUUGGGGUCUUCCUUUACCCUCU
rnacentral:lncRNA from 1 species